rnacentral:rRNA from 1 species
AUAAUGGAUAGCAAUAUCUAUGGUGGCGACCGGCGCACGGGUGCGUAACGCGUAUGCAACCUACCUUUAACAGGGGGAUAACACUGAGAAAUUGGUACUAAUACCCCAUAAUAUCAUAGAAGGCAUCUUUUAUGGUUGAAAAUUCCGAUGGUUAGAGAUGGGCAUGCGUUGUAUUAGCUAGUUGGUGGGGUAACGGCUCACCAAGGCGACGAUACAUAGGGGGACUGAGAGGUUAACCCCCCACACUGGUACUGAGACACGGACCAGACUCCUACGGGAGGCAGCAGUGAGGAAUAUUGGUCAAUGGACGCAAGUCUGAACCAGCCAUGCCGCGUGCAGGAUGACGGCUCUAUGAGUUGUAAACUGCUUUUGUACGAGGGUAAACGCAGAUACGUGUAUCUGUCUGAAAGUAUCGUACGAAUAAGGAUCGGCUAACUCCGUGCCAGCAGCCGCGGUAAUACGGAGGAUUCAAGCGUUAUCCGGAUUUAUUGGGUUUAAAGGGUGCGUAGGCGGUUUGAUAAGUUAGAGGUGAAAUUUCGGGGCUCAACCCUGAACGUGCCUCUAAUACUGUUGAGCUAGAGAGUAGUUGCGGUAGGCGGAAUGUAUGGUGUAGCGGUGAAAUGCUUAGAGAUCAUACAGAACACCGAUUGCGAAGGCAGCUUACCAAACUAUAUCUGACGUUGAGGCACGAAAGCGUGGGGAGCAAACAGGAUUAGAUACCCUGGUAGUCCACGCAGUAAACGAUGAUAACUCGUUGUCGGCGAUACACAGUCGGUGACUAAGCGAAAGCGAUAAGUUAUCCACCUGGGGAGUACGUUCGCAAGAAUGAAAC